rnacentral:rRNA from 1 species
AGCCCCGCAUAUACACCCCAUCUGCCUAUAAUACAGAAACACCUAUUUAAAUAUAUUUUAACCAACUUUAAGUUUUCAAUAAUAACCGAAAGGGAAAGAUAAUUAGCUAUAUAAAAGUAAUUAUGACAUAAUGUACCUUGUGUAUAAUGAGACAGCAAACAAAUAUGUCCACAACACCCUCCCGAAACUAAUUGAGCUAUCUUAAGCCUGCCUUGCGCCCACUCCUAAAUGUUGCAAUAUUUUGAGAAGAGCUUUCUAUAGAUGCAAUAUACUAGUCACAAUUAGUUAUAGCUGGAUUCCUGCUAAAUAUAUUUAAGUAUUGCAACAUAAACUUAAACUUCUAUAUAUUUAAUUUUAUGUAUGUUAAAUAGUAAAGGACAAGCUUUACUAUUAAUAAAAUAAAGAACUUUUAUAUUAUUUUGCGCUCACCUAAGCUUAAAAUCUGCUAAGCCCUAUAAUAAGUUACAAUUAAAGCCUUCCUUAUAAAUAAAUCGAUUAUAUAAUUUCUUUCUUAAAUAACAGGAUAAUAUCUUUAACUAUUUUAUCUUAUCUAUAACAAUGCUGCCAUUAGUAUUAAUUUUUAUGGUUACCCACCCCUCAAUUUAAUCAUAUUACAAGGAACUCGGCACCCAAAAAUACUGACUGUUUAACAAAAACAUAGCCUAAAGAACUCUAUUCUAGGUAUCUCCUGCCCGGUGAGAUUCUAAUCUUAAACGGCCGCGGUAUCCUGACCGUGCAAAGGUAGCAUAAUAACUUGUCCCUUAAUUAAGGACUAGAAUGAACGGAGCCACAAGUAUUUAUCUGUCUCGUAAAUGUAAAUAUAAUUUAACCUCUAAGUGAAAAGGCUUAGAUCUUUUAGAAGGACAAGAAGACCCCAUAGAGCUUCACUAAAUAAAUAAAUAGAUAAUGCUAUUAAUAGCAACCAACUCCCUAUCCUAUUUCUAAGUUCAGUUGGGGCAACCUGGGAAUAACCAAAACUUCCCUUUAUUUCACAGUUUAUCUUACUUAUUAAGGAGCUUAAUUGAAAAUUAAUAGAUCAAGCUACCUUGGGGAUAACAGCGUAAUUUUUUUUUAAAGCUCUAAUUAUCAAAAAAGUUUGCGACCUCGAUGUUGCCUUAGAAUAUCCUGAAAAUGCAGCCGUUUUCAAGGGUUGGUCUGUUCGCCCAUUAAAAUUCUACAUGAGGUGAGUUCAGACCGGCGCGAGCCAGGUCGGUUUCUAUCCCCUAAUAACAUAAUCUAUUCUUAGUACGAAAGGAUUAGAAUAGAAAAAUAUAUUUUAUUUAUUUGAAACAAAUAUAAAACCUAACCAACACAAUUUUAAUUAAGAAAUUCACUUAUA